rnacentral:rRNA from 1 species
UGGGGAAUAUUGCACAAUGGGCGCAAGCCUGAUGCAGCCAUGCCGCGUGUAUGAAGAAGGCCUUCGGGUUGUAAAGUACUUUCAGCGAGGAGGAAGGCGUUGUGGUUAAUAACCGCAGCGAUUGACGUUACUCGCAGAAGAAGCACCGGCUAACUCCGUGCCAGCAGCCGCGGUAAUACGGAGGGUGCAAGCGUUAAUCGGAAUUACUGGGCGUAAAGCGCACGCAGGCGGUCUGUCAAGUCGGAUGUGAAAUCCCCCGGGCUCAACCUGGGAACUGCAUCCGAAACUGGCAGGCUAGAGUCUUGUAGA